GUAGCUGAUGGGAAGCUGGUUAAUAUUCCAGCACCGAUUUCAAGUGCGAAGGGGGGACGGAGUCCUGAAGGUCAUCCGGGUGUUGGACAUCCCGGUUUACGAGCGUAGGAGGUUGACAGGCAAAUCCGUCAACGAAUCUCCAAGGCGAAGGAUCGAGGUUGAGAGAUCAACUGAAGUGACUGAAUGGGCUUCCAGGAAAAGCCUCUAAGCAUCAGCUUGGAAUUGACCGUACCGCAAACCGACACAGGUGGGCGAGCUGAAUAUGCUCAGGCGCUUGAGAGAACUCAGGAGAAGGAACUCGGCAAAUUGACACCGUAACUUCGGGAUAAGGUGUGCCUUUGUAGUGUGAAGGGAGAAACACCCCGAGCAUGAAGAGGCCUCAGAGAAUCGGUGGCUGCAACUGUUUACUAAAAACACAGCACUCUGCAAAGAUGAAAGUCGACGUAUAGGGUGUGAUGCCUGCCCGGUGCUGGAAGAUUAAUUGAUGGGGUGCAAGCUCCUGAUCGAAGCCCCAGUAAACGGCGGCCGUAACUAUAACGGUCCUAAGGUAGCGAAAUUCCUUGUCGGGUAAGUUCCGACCUGCACGAAUGGCAUAAUGAUGGCCACACUGUCUCCUCCGUGAGCUCAGUGAAGUUGAAAUGUUUGUGAUGAUGCAAUCUCCCCGCGGCUAGACGGAAAGACCCCAUGAACCUUUACUGCAGCUUUGCAUUGGACUUUGAACCGAUCUGUGUAGGAUAGGUGGGAGGCAGUGAAGCUAGGACGCCAGUCUUAGCGGAGCCAACCUUGAAAUACCACCCUGAUUUGUUUGAGGUUCUAACCUAGGAGCGUAAUCCGCUUCGGGGACCGUGCAUGGCAGGCAGUUUGACUGGGGCGGUCUCCUCCUAAAGGGUAACGGAGGAGUGCGAAGGUACGCUAGGUACGGUCGGAAAUCGUGCUGAUAGUGCAAUGGCAAAAGCGUGCUUGACUGCGAGACCGACAAGUCGAGCAGAUACGAAAGUAGGUCAUAGUGAUCCGGUGGCUCUGCAUGGAAGGGCCAUCGCUCAACGGAUAAAA
rnacentral:rRNA from 1 species